GAUGAACGCUAGCUACAGGCUUAACACAUGCAAGUCGAGGGGAAACGACAUCGAAAGCUUGCUUUUGAUGGGCGUCGACCGGCGCACGGGUGAGUAACGCGUAUCCAACCUGCCCAUCACUUGGGAAUAACCUUGCGAAAGUAAGACUAAUACCCAAUGACAUCCCACGAAGACAUCUGAAUGGGAUUAAAGAUUUAUCGGUGAUGGAUGGGGAUGCGUCUGAUUAGCUUGUUGGCGGGGUAACGGCCCACCAAGGCAACGAUCAGUAGGGGUUCUGAGAGGAAGGUCCCCCACAUUGGAACUGAGACACGGUCCAAACUCCUACGGGAGGCAGCAGUGAGGAAUAUUGGUCACUGGGCGAGAGCCUGAACCAGCCAAGUAACGUGCAGGAUGACGGCCCUAUGGGUUGUAAACUGCUUUUAUAAGGGAAUAAAGUGGGUCUCGUGAGACUUUUUGCAUGUACCUUAUGAAUAAGGACCGGCUAAUUCCGUG
rnacentral:rRNA from 1 species